rnacentral:lncRNA from 1 species
CCCGGGAGAUCCUCCUGAAUGCGGAUUGUUCACAGUUGAUUGUUCAGAACCCGAUCGGCCAAAGAUCCAAUUGAAAGAGGGGGGAUACUGGCAUGAAUUCCAAGGCUCUUUAUUUUCACCUUCGAUUUCUAUCAAUGACAGAGACCUUGCCGACCGCUUAGAAAAGGAUCGCUGCGAUGAUGGAGUUUUCGACGACUUGAGUCUUCCCAGCGCUUCUCCAAUCGUUGAAGUACCAUUAUUCACACACGAUCUGACCCUUUUCAAAUGCAACACCACCUUAGACAAAAAUUCUUACCCACAACUUAAUUAUGGCUGCGGAAAUGCUAACCAUACUUAUUAUACCGCUUCAUUUAGCAGUAGUUUAACUAACCCCCCGCCGCCAGGGUGUGCAACCAUUCAGGUCCCCAUAGUUCCGUCUCCGUCUCAACCCAUCACGUUGUCUUCAUUGACUGCUGAGUUUUCCCUCGAAGUGGAAGCACGAAAAUGUUAUCAAUGUCGUGAAAGAAAAGGUGAAUGCCUGGUUGAAUAUGGAAAUUAUAAAUGCGCCGCCAGAGAAAAAGGUAUAUACAUUUACAUGACCUGUUUUUUCAUUCUCUGACGUACGAUAAUCCGAUUCCUUUCUUCAAAUGAUAUAAGGCCAUCUCCAACCGAUGGCUGGCCAUAUUUGCCUCCGUCUCCAACCGAGGGCCAGAGGGCCAGAGGGCUCGUUUUAGCCCUGUAAAAAAAAACCGUCUCCAACCGAGGGCCAAAGGGCCAUAGGGCCAAACAUAAUUUAUUAUUUAAAAAUAUUUAAAAACUACAACUUAAUUUUAUUUAAAAAUCAUGUUGGUUAGUGUUGUAUAAUUUUUAUGUCGGUUAAUGUUAUUUAAUGUUGUUUCAUAUUGUUUAAUGUUGUUUCAUGUUACUUAAUUUAAUUUAAUGUUGUAUAAUGGCUUAGGAAGUUAUAGGAAAAAAUUAGAAUUUAAAAAAAAUAUGAAACAAAUUUUGUGAAAUAGAAGUUAUAGGAAAAAAUGGAAUUUAAAAAAAAAAUAUGAAACAAAUUUUUUGUAAAAAUAGAAGUUAUAUGAAAAAAAUAUGACCCAAAUUUUGUAAAAUAUAAGUUAUAGGAAAAAAAUAGAAUUAAAAAAAAAUUGAAACAAAUUUUGUAAAAUAGAAGUUAUAGGAAGUUAUAGAAAAAAAAAAGAAAAAAAAGGUUUAAAUUCAUAAAAAAAAAAAAAAAAAGGAUUUACAACGGCUAGUGGCGCUAGCCGUUGGAAGUUUGAAUUCAAAAUGUUAUUUCUGUCGGUUGUAACCGACAGAAAUAAGAAACAUUAAAAAAAAAAAUAGCCAGCCCGGGGCUGGCUGGCUGGCCGAAAGCAGCCAGCCCUCCAGCCCUCCAGCCCUCUCUGAUCCCGUGGGGCCCUCCCAGAUUCCCGAGCCCUCUGGCCUAGCCCUCGGUUGGAGACGGUUUUAGGGCUAUUUUCGGCCCUCUGGCCCUCUGGACCCUUCGGUUGGAGAUGGCCUAACUAACAGUUUAUCGAGACACAAAGUAUUAAAUGAUUGUUAUAUAUGCAUUAGCCUCUUUUUUUUUUUGAAUGGUAACAUAAUUUAUGCCACUUCCAUCUUCUGUAAUUUAGUUAACAGCAGUUUUCAUUGCAAUUCAUGUUGCAGGAGAUAAGCAGGUGAAAUUGAAGCUAGGACUAGGUAAGAUUGAUAUCUCUACAUUUAAGAUAUCUAAUUGGUAUGCAUACUCAUCUAGGACAAGUGCUAGAACCAAAGCACGGAAAUCAGUCAUUCCCCAAUCCCUCUGGAUUAAUUUUCUAGGAAUCACGGAAUGAGCAAGCGUUUAAACACGUUGGCAAAGUCCAUUGAUUGCUCUGCAUAACAUACCUUCAAUCAAAUUUAACUCUCCUUUAACAGUUGGUGCAGCUUCUGUUAUCGUCGUUCUAGUUGUUGUCUGCUGUUUCUUUUGGAAGAAGCGUAUCCAAAAACAUCAAAUUGUUGAGGCCCUUCUAAGGAGCUACGGGCCGCUUCAAGUUCAAAGGCAUAGCUAUUCGGAGGUCAAGAAAAUGACCAACUCCUUCAAAGAAAAAUUAGGACAAGGAGGCUAUGGUGCUGUUUACAAAGGAAAGUUAAAGGACGGCCGUCUUGUAGCAGUGAAGGUCUUGACCAAACUGAAAGGAGAUGGAGAAGAAUUUAUGAAUGAAGUGGCAGCCAUUAGUCGAACUUCCCAUGUCAACAUCGUCUCCUUGUUGGGCUACUGUUUUGAGGGUUCGAAGAGGGCUCUGAUCUAUGAAUUCAUGCCUAAUGGAUCGCUCGAGAAGUUCAUAUUUGAUGCAAGUACUCCCAAGAAUGAUCAUCAUCACUUGGGAUGGGAAACUCUGGAUCAAAUUUCACUGGGUAUUGCUCGAGGAUUGGAGUACUUACAUCGUGGUUGCAACACACGAAUUUUGCAUUUUGACAUCAAGCCUCACAACAUUCUUCUCAGUGAAAAUUUCACCCCAAAAAUCUCGGAUUUUGGCCUUGCCAAAAUAUGCAACAGGAACGAGAGCAUUGUGUCGAUGUUGGGAGCUAGAGGUACAGCAGGUUACAUUGCUCCAGAAGUAUUUUCUCGAAACUUUGGAAAGGUCUCACACAAGUCCGAUGUGUACAGCUACGGAAUGAUGCUUUCGGAGAUGGUUGGAGGAAGAAGGAACAUCGACACUGAAGCUGAAAAUACAAGUGAAAUAUAUUUUCCGCAUUGGAUUUACAAGCGUCUUGAACUGGACGAAGAGAUUGGUCUGCAGAGUGUUACGAAUGAGGAAGACAAAGUAAGAGCAAGGAAGAUGAUCAUAGUGAGCUUGUGGUGCAUACAAACUGAUCCUUCCAACCGGCCAGCGAUAAAGGAAGUGAUAGAUAUGUUGGAAGGGAGUGUUGAUUCAUUGCAGAUACCACCCAAGCCUUACUUGUCUUCUCCUCCAAAAUCCCCGGUAGAUUCUUCUACCACAUUGGUAUCAAUUCAGUAAAAAUCCUGUAUUUUACUUGAACAAAUCUAUGUUUUUUCUGAGGCAAUCUGAAUAAUAAAGUAAGCAUUUCAUUUUUGUUUUGUUCAUUUCUAUAGAUGAAUGAAUCAACACAGUAGGAGCGACCCUCUUACUACCACUCCUGCAAUCAUUAUAUAUUCAACACAAUUACAAACGCUUUAAUCAAUCCAAUUUAGGGAAACUCAAAGAUGGCCGGGAAGUUGCAGUCAAGUUCUUAUAUGAACACAAUUACAAACGCGGCGCCCAAAUCAUGUACCCUCUUCCAUGCCAUCCGGCUGAAAUCCAGUUUAUAUGCUUUGAAAUCAUGUGUUUCAAGAACAGCAUCAGGUUCGGGGCUAUAAAACCUACAAACAAGUAGAAGCUCUCCACAAGAUUGCACAAGAUACUUCAACACACCGUAAUUUUCCUGCUCCUCGGACAUUUUUACUUAAUGGCUAUCUGUUUUUAUCUCAUGAUCAUCCUCUGUUCUGAUGGCAGCAAGAACAUUAGUAACCUUAAUCUUCGAAAUGCUAUAGUCACUGCUUAGAAGAUAGAAACUUCCAUCUGAGAAGACAGCAUCCUCAAACGGCUCACCAUCUAGCUUAUGUUUAAGCCAUGAUUGAGCUCCGCGGACCCAAAAUGCAAGCUCCCGGUGUUGACUAUGAACUCAAGGUUGUAACAAUCGACUUCUUUCACUAGAAUCAACCAAUCUUGAUAUGAUCCCCAAUCUUGAUUAUGUAAUAUGCUAAGACAAGUCCACAAGUCCUUACAUGUCCGUCUCUGUGGCCAGAAGUCAUGAGCCACGGGACGGGACACCACGCCUUUGCCAACAAGAAAGUUCCUGUCCAAUAGCGUUUCUCCAAGCUCUGCAAACAUCAUUAACAGAGAUACAAUCAAUCAGAGGCUGUCGCUCAAAGAUAAUCUCCAGUGUAGUGUGAGGCAGCUCUUCCCAAUUCAAAUUCCAUGUAUAACAGAUGUGGAUAGAAAGAUUAUACAUUUUGUGAAGGCAAAUAACUCCCUUGCUACCUUGUAACAUGCCUCUUAUCAGUUCAAAAUCAAACUAGAAAAAACUUUCUAGAUAAUCUUUAAAUCUUUACAGGUAAAUCUCAAAAAUUGGGAUGCCAUUGUUUUCACUACAGCAGCAGUAAUUGUUCCUCGGAGUCUAACACUGCACGCGAACAAAUAAAAUGAUUCCCGAACAAAAAAAAGCAGAGACACAAACAAUCAAAACCUGAAUUGCAAUAACAAAUUGAUUGCCUGGAGAUAAAAUCGUUAGGUCCCAACUCGAAGAGAAUGCAAGCUUUUAUAUUUUAUAAGAGAUCUCUGCAAGAAGGAUGCUGUAUAUUAUCAACAUUCUCAAUUCCUUAGUUAAACCCAUGAACACGAAGAUGAUAUUUGACUCCGAUUCCACAAGCAAAUAGCUAAAACAAUCGAACCGCGUUCACACGUUGUUAACCAACAAAGAAUCGUUCCAAUGAGUUCAAAAAAUUGCAAAGAAGGGCAUGAAUCCGUGAUGAAUCACAGAAACAAGUGCUCUGAUCAAAACCACUUUCAAUAAAGUUGGAAGCUUUUUAAGUUUUAAGUGCAUUUUACUUAAUACCCAAUUCUUGCAUGCAACAGUCAAAAGCUUUAUUAACUCCCUAAUCAGUUCCUAACCCACCAAAUCAUCCCAGAUUUUACAAUCACAAAAUUUCUUAUUCCUUAAGAGAGUAAAUUGUAGCAAUGAUCUUUUAACUUUAAUCAAAUUAGAGCAAUGAUCCAUCAACUAAAAAUCCAUUAUCAUUUGUCCCUCAACUUAUCGAAAUGUGUAGCUAUAGUCAUUUUCAUCAAUUUCGUCAAAAUUUUAUCAAAAUAAGUUAUGUUGGAAUAACCAUUUAUAUAAUUAGGGUCCCUCAACUCAUCAAAGUGUGUAAUUAUGGUCAUUUUCGUCAACUACGUCAAAAUUUUUGUCAAAACGAGUUAUGUUGGAAGGACCAUUGCUACAAUUGGGUUAAAGUUAAGGGACCAUUUUUCCAGUUGAAUUAAAGUUGAGGGACCAAUGGUAAUGAAUUUUUAGUUGAGGGAUCAUUGCUCCAAUUGAGUUAAAGUUAAGGGACUAUAGCUACAAUUUACUCUAAAACUUAACCAAAAACAAAAAAAGGAAAGAAGUCUCUGGAAUAUACCGGUUCGUCUCCUUUUUAACCGAAACGGUGCGCAUGAAGGUUUUAAUUCCUCGUUUUGUUAAAAAUAUUGUCUGGGUUGGGUAAACUCAAUAUGGGCCUCUAAAACGGGUCAUGUAGCGGUCCAGUUUAGCCCAUUUACUUUGUAAAUUUUUUGUUAGGGAUGAGUAGCUCAGCUUACUUUCUGAACAACGAAAAAGCCCAAUGUACUUUAUUUAUUUAUAGUAAAAUAGAAAUGUUAUAAUAUGUAAAAGUUAAAGGGAUAACCUUUUAGAUAGGUGCGAAGCAGAUGUAAAAUAUCACACUAAAACUAUAGCUCAAGUGAAUGACAAAUAAAAGAUGGAGGAAUGAAUGAUAUUAUUGAUCCCUUUGUUUUGAUUUGUAUUCUCUGUAUCUUAUCUCUGUAUAUACAUCGAUGGCAGUAGGAAUGCUCUAUUUAUAGAGUGAAUCCAUACACAAAUUCUUAAAGUUUGAAAUUUACAACAUUUUGUUUCCAAACUCUUCAUCAUAUUUGUGUAGGUAUUGACAAAGAACUUAUGUGGGCAUUCAUCAGAUAGCCGAUGGUUUCAUCAGUUAAUGUUUUCAACUGCCAAUAUUGACUGCCAAUGGUUUCAACACUCCCCCUUAGAUGCCCACAUAUCAACAUUAGUUGCCUCGUUAAAACCUUGCUUGGAAAAACCCAGUGGGAAAAAACCAUAGCGAAGGAAAAAGAGUACAACUUUACCUGGAUUGUUAAUAUAGUGUUAAGUAUGCUUAUGUUGCCUCGUUAAAACCUUAAUAGGAAAAACCCAGUAGGAAAAAUCUUAAUCGAAGGAAAAAGAGUACAACAAGCAUGUAUCAUGGAUGCUCCCCCUGAGAUGUAUCUCCCAUUAAUUCCGCAUUCUUCAAAUUUAGCUGUUUGGUAAGUCGACGUAAUCCGAUACUUUGCACUAACUUUUGAAACGUGCAUUUUGGUAGAGACUUGGUGAACAAGUCUGCCAGAUUUUCAUUAGAACGGAUUUGUCUGACUUCAAUAACUUUAGCCUUCUUAAGCUUAUGUGCACUGAAAAACUUUGGAGAUAUGUUUUUAGUCUUAUUGCCCUUGAUGAAUCUUUCCUUCAUUUGGGCAACAUAGGUUGCAUUAUCUUCAUGAAUGACAGUUGGAUUGUCUAUCUUCGAAGUCAAACCACAUGAAUUCCGAAUAUGAUAGAUUAUUGAUCUUAACCAAGAACAUUCACGACUUGCUUCAUGUAAAACAAGUAUUUCUGAAUGAUUUGAAGAUGUAGCAACUAAUGUUUGCUUUGUUGAACACCAUGAGAUUGAUGUAUCUCCAUUCUUGAACACAUAUCCAGUUUGUGAGUAGGCUUUAUGCGGAUCAGAGAGGAAACCAGCAUCUGUAUAUCCGACAAGGACCUGGUCAUUUGUGGAGUUCUUUGAGUAGAAGAGACUCAUAUAUGUUGUCCCACGAAGGUAUCGCAAUACAUCUUUGACACCCUUCCAAUGACGAAUUGUUGGAGCAGAGCUAUACCUGGCUAACAAGUUGAUUGAAAAAACUAUAUCUGGUAUAAUACAUUGUGCUAAAUACAACAAAGCACCUACUGCACUCAAAUAUGAUACUUCUGGACCAAGGACCAUUUCAUCAUCUUCUUUUGGACGGAAUGGAUCUGUCUUAAUGUCCAGAGAACGAACGACAAUUGGCGUGCUGAGUGGAUAAGCCUUGUCCAUACUCGCUUCUGGAUUUUUUCAAUGUAAACUGAUUGGUGGACCAAAAUUCCGCUAGCACAAUGCUUGAUCUGCAGGCCAAGACAAAAUUUCGUUUUUCCAAGGUCUUUCAUUUCAAAUUUGCUUUUCAGAUAUUCAGUAGUUUUAUGUAACUUUUCAGGAGUUCCAACUAGGUUCAUAUCAUUGACAUAUACUGCCACUAUAGCAAAUCCAGAGUUGGAUUUCUUAAUGAACACACAAGGGCAAAUGACAUUGUUGAUAUACCCUUUUUAAUCAAAUACUCACUGAGACGAUUAUAUCACAUUCGUCCAGAUUGUUUUAGCCCAUACAAUGGUCGUCUUAAUUUGAUCGAGAGCAUACCUCGUGGUUUGUUAGCUGUUUCAGGCGACUUGAGUACUUCUGGGACUUUCAUAUAUAUGUCAGUAUCUAAUUCUCCAUACAGAUACGCAGUGAUAACACUAUAAGUCGCAUGUCAAGCUUUUCUGAAACCACUAAACUUAUUAAGUAACGGAACGUAAUUGCAUUCAUUACAGGAGAGUAUGUCUCCUCAUAAUCAAUUCCAGGUCUUUGUGAAAAUCCUUGUGCAACGAGUCGUGCUUUAUAUCUUGCAAUCUCAUUUUUCUCAUUGCGUUUCCAUGUGAAUACCUAUUUGUAACCCACAGGAUUUACACCAGACGGGGUUUGGACUACUGAUCCAAAAACACUUCAUCUUUCCAAGGAAUUUAAUUCUGCCUGGAUUGCAUCUUUCCACUUAGGCCAAUCUUGUCUCUGUUUGCACUCAUCAACAGAGUGGAGCUCAACAUUAUCAUUUAAUAUGAUUUUAGUGGCUACUGCGAAUGCAAACAUAUCGUCAAUGAUUAUUUCAUUCUGAUCCCACAAUUCAAUAGUACGUGCAUAAUUUAUGGAGAUUUCAUUGCUUUCAUGUACUUCUGUCUCUUCAGGGACAUGUGUUUCAUCAAGGACAUUUUCUUCUUCUAGAAGUCCAGAAUCAUGAAUUGUAGAUUUGUCAUUCAUUCCCUCUUCCUGAAUGAUUUCAUUUGGAUUCAGCUGUGUCAUUGUCUUUCUCUUUUGAGGGGCUGAAUCUUUUGAACCUGGUGGUCUACUACGCUUCAGGCGUGCACCAGAUGAAUCAUUCGCUGCCACUUUAUUUUGUCCAACAAGGAUCAAUUCUGGCAGGUGCAUUUGCAGCUGGUAUAUGUGAUUUUGUCACUUUCAUAGCAUCAUUAAAUGCAUCUGGCAUUUGAUUGGCAAUGCUUUGAAGAUGAACGAUCCUUUUUACUUCAUUUUCAUAUUGAAUGCUUCGAGGAUCAAAAUGAGACAAGGUGGGAACAACCCAUGUCAGUUAUUUCCGUUCUUUUGGAACAAUUUUUUCUCCCCCUAACGAUGGGAAGAAUGUCUUAUCAAAAUGAUAAUCAGCAAAACGAGCUGUAAACAUAUCACCUGUCAAGGGUUCCAAAUAUCUAAUGAUAGAUGGUGAAUCAAAACCCACAUAAAUUCCCAGUCUACGCUGAGGUCCCAUUUUAGUGCGUUGCGGGGGUGCAAUAGGCACAUAAACAGUAUAACCAAAAACUCGUAAAUGUGAAAUGUUUGGCUGAUAUCCAAACAUGAGUUGUAUUGAGGAGUAUUGGUGGUUGGUUAUAGGUCUCAAUCGAACCAAUGAUGUAGCAUGUAGGAUGGCAUGUCCACAUGUAGAAACUGGCAAUUUGGUUUUCAUAAGCAGAGUGCGAGCUAUUAAUUGAAGUCGCUUGAUCAAUGCUUCUGCUAAACCAUUUUAAGUAUGGACAUGAGGAACAUAGUGUUCAACAUUAAUGCCCAAUAUCAUGCAGUAAUCAUCAAAAGUUUGAGACGUAAAUUCACCAGCAUUAUCAAGUCGGAUUGACUUAAUGGGAUAAUCUGGGAACUGUGCUCGUAAUUUAGUUAUCUGAGCAAAAAGUCUCACAAAAGCUACAUUCUGAGUAGACAAGAGACAAACAUGUGACCAUCUGGUAGAUGCAUCAACCAAAACCAUAAAAUAUCGAAAUGGUCCACAAGAUCGUUGAAUAGGUCCACAAAUAUCCCCUUGAAUUCUUUGCAGAAAUGAUGGGGAUUCAACAUCAACCUUUAGUUGUGAUGGUCUAAUUGAUGGUCUAAUUACCAACUUCCUUUGAGAACAAGCCUUGCAAGGGUUAUUAUUUGAGAUAGCAAUGUCUCUGCUCAAUAAUGGAUGUCCAUUAGAGUUGGUAAUGAUCAUACGCAUCAUGGUGGAUCCUGGAUGACCCAGACGGUCAUGCCAAAACAUGUAAACUUUUGAAUCAAUGAACUUCUGGUUCAUGACAGUAUGUGAUUCAACUGUCUUUAUGUAUGUAUAAUACAAUCCACUUGACAAACUACGCAACUUCUCCAAUAUAUGCUUCUAGGUAUCAUUGGAGGUAAUGCAUAGAUACUCCACAUUUUCUGCACUUUUCAUUUCCAUGUGGUAUCCAUUUAAACGUAUGUCUUUGAAACUCAACAAGUUUCGAGUAGAUCGAGUGGCGUACAUCACAUUUUGUAUGGAUAAUAUUGCCAUUUUGUAACAUAAUCUGGGCUUUCCCUGAGCCUUCAAUCACAUCUAAUUGGCCUGAUAUUGUUGUUACCUUUACUUUUGUAAACAUCAAGUUUGAGAAAUACUUUCAAUCUCGAAGUAUUGUAUGCGUUGUUGCGCAGUCUGCAAGACAGAUAUCUCCGCCAUUUCUCAUGUUCUGAGAAUGAUCAUAGAUUUUAUCCAUGCUCUCUGAGUAAGGGAAUCAGAGUUAAAAGCAAGUUAUAACAAGAAAUUUACAUACUACUUUUAUUGAAUCUGAAAUGCUAGUUUUACACAACAAGUUCAGCAUAAUAAAAGUACAUCAAACAUAAACGAUUUAGUCAGACCGGUAUACUUCAUUCUCCCUUUCCAUAAUGAAGUUUGAAACAUCUAGGUGGGUUGUGUCCAAUUGCCCUGAUAAAUCAAAUACUGGAUCAGGUAUAUCUAUUGGUUUAGCUUGGUCGAGAAAAUUGGUCUCGACACCCUUCACCUUGAAGGAGGCUUGAUACAGCUCCACCAGAUGUUUUGGGGUACGACAAGUGCGCGCCCAAUGCCCAUUGCCACCACACCUAUGGCAGGCUCCUUCAGAGUUCCUGGGAGCAUUGUUCAUGUGAGCUUUACCUUUGUGGCGAUUCACAUUUUUAAAGCUCGGGCCUGAAUUAUGCCUCGGAACCUGGUUGUGAAACUGACCACCAUGGUUCUUGCCUUUCCUAUUCUAUCGACCUCGCUUGUGGCCACGUCCUCGUUUAUGAUUAUUGCCACCAGAGGAUGUGGCGUUCACUUCGAUGGAAGCAUUAUUCACUUCUGGGAAUGGUGCAGAUCUAGUAGGUCGAGAAUUAUGGUUUUUCAUUAUGAGCUUAUUGUUUUGUUCAACUACCAGGAGCACAGAUAUCAGCUGGUUGUAUUCAGUGUAGCCUCGUGCUCUAUACUGCUGCUGCAUGAGCACGUUAGAGACAUGAAAUGUGUUGAAAGUCUUUUCCAGCAAUAUUUCCUCAAUAAUAGUAUCCUCACAGAGCUUCAUCUGAGAUGUAAUUUUGAACAACGUAGAAUUGUACUCAGCCACUGACUUGAAAUCCUGGAUCCUUAGGUAAGUCCAUUCAUAGCGAGCUCUUGGAAGAAUCAUCGUUGUCUGGUGAUUGUAUCUGCUUCUCAAAGCCUGCCAGAGAGGUAACAGAUCUUCAACCGUUAAGUACUCACUCUUUAGUGCCUCAUCAAGAUGGCGACGAAUAAAAAUCAUAGCCUUCGCCCGUUCUUGAGAGAAUGAGUUGUUCUCUUCCCUGAUGGUAUCUCCAGGAUUCCCUGCUUCCAGAUGGAUCUUGGUAUCCAGUACCCAUGUAAGGUAAUUCUUCCCGGUAAUGUCCAGGACAACAUAUUCAAGCUUUGCCAAGUUCGCCAUUUUCUUUUCUGAAAGAAAAAUGAGAUGUGUAAGAACUUGCAACAAUAUGUAUUCCUGGAGAAAUAUAGUGUUAGAACUUCUGAUUCUUACAAUUUUUUUUUUCAUUUCGAUCUUCAGGCCAAAAUGAUAAGCACUCGAAACUUCUGGCUCAAGAUUUUCAGGGUGAAUAAGGAGGGUGAUUGUAUCGCACCAUUCUCAUUGAAAUAAUGUAACAUAGAAUGGACGAUUAUUCCACAUCACUCAAGUAGCAGGAAAAAUUUAAAUACGCAUAGCAGUGUGGGUGAUUAUAUCGCACCAUCUAAAAUUGCAAUGAAAUUAAACUGCAGGUAAAUUAAAUAUGCAGGGCAGGGCAGGGCGGGCGAUUAUACGCUCCACCUAAAAUUUGCAGUAAAAUAAAAUUUAUAAUUCAAGAUAGGCGAUGAUACCGCACCAUCUUGGAUUGCAGUAAGAUGAAAUUUGCAGUUCAAGAUGUGCGAUUGUACCGCACCAUUUUGGAUUGCAGUAAAAAUAAAUACUGGGUUAGUAAUCAAUAUCUAUACCAAACAAAAAAUCAAAGAUGUAUGUAACUGUUCGUUGGAGAACUAGAAGCAAGCAUGGAGCAAACAGUUCGUCGUGAGGGUAUACCACGCAAUUGAGGCAGAGGAAAAAGAUGAAGAGUAAAAACCUUAGAGGAAACAUUUUUUCUUUCGGCGAGAGGAAUGAGAAAUAGUUAUAUUUAGAGACUCGUGCUGAUAACGUGUUAUAAAUAUGUAAAAGUUAGAGGGAUAACCUUUUAGAUAGGUGCAAGGCAGAUGUAAAAUAUCACACUAAAACUAAAGCUCAAGUGAAUGACAAAUAAAAGAUAGAGGAAUGAAUGAUAUUAUUGAUCCUUUUGUUCUGAUCUGUAUUCUCUGUAUCUUCUCUCUGUAUAUACAUCGAUGGUAGUAGGAGUGCUUUAUUUAUAGAGCGAAUCCAUAUGACAAAUUCUUAAAGUUUGAAAUUUACAACAUUUUGUUUCCAAAGUCUUCAUCAUAUUUGUGUAGGUAUUGACAAAGAACUUAUGUGGGCAUUCAUCAGCUAAUGUUUUCAACUACCAAUAUUGACUGCCAAUGGUUUCAACAAGAAAAAGAUUUUAAGAAGAAAUUUAAAUAGAGCCAUGCCCUCUACAUAUUUAUUUUUACUUUUCACACGAACCCAUUUAAACCGGUGGAGAAAAUGGCAGUCACAAACGACCAAAUUUGUCAUGACGUUUUACUAAAUUAAAUUCCAACGUUAGUACUGUUACUAGGAGAUGCUUUUCAGGCUUUCAGCUUUGAAGCUGUUCAGUGAUCAGGCAAAUAAGUAGACCCACAAGCAAGACGGAACGGAACAUGUUUCACUACGCGACGAGUGAACACUGAACACUCAACUCAAUCCUUUCCGUAAUCAGUGGGGUUCGGAGCAGUUGCAAGGAUUUUUUAAUGUUAUCUUUUAAGAGUCAAGGGGUCAAAGUCUUUCUGGUGCUUGUCAGUGGGGAAGUUGAGAAGUCUUCCGGUCUCCAGUCAAGCAACGUGUACAUGGAUAGUUCCCACAAGUCUUCCAGUCUCCCAAAUUCCAAGUGAACAGGGGUGUUACUAUAUUGCAAACAAAGAAUUCUCAACCUCUACAAGUUAUCACUCUUGUUCUGAAUUAGAGGAGUAGAUCUUCUUAUUCUUCUUCCUUUGCGGCGCUUUCUUCUUGUUGAUCAGUUGGGAAUUCUCGGAUGGCUCCGGUGGCUUUGUUUAUUCUCUCCGUUCUUGCUCACCUUGUGGUUCUGCACUCUGCUGAAGCCAAACAUUGUCCAGUCCAAUUCUGCAGCUCAGCAGGCAACAUCAGCUUCCCCUUCAAAAGCACGGGAGAUCCUCCUGAAUGCGGAUUGUUCACAGUCGAUUGUUCAGACCCCGAACGGCCAAGAAUCCAAUUGAAAGGGGGAGGAUACUGGCAUGAAUUCCAAGGCUCUUUAGCGUCCACUUCGAUUUUUAUCAAAGACAGAGACCUUGCCGGCCGCUUAGAAAAGGAUCACUGCAACGACGGAGCUUUCGACGAAUUGAGUCUUCCCAGCGCUUCUCCUAUCCCUGGAGUAUCAUUAUCCACACUCAACCUUACCCUUAUCAAAUGCAACAUCUUGGACAAAACUUCUUCUCCACAACCUAAGGAUGGCUGCGGAAAUACUUACCAUACUUACUAUAUCAAUUCAUCUAACAAUAAUUUACCUAACCCUCUGCCACCAAGGUGUGAAACCAUGCAGGUCCCCAUGCGUCCGUCUCAACCCAACAUGUCCUCUUCAUUGACAGCUGAGUUUUACCUCCACGUGUCAGCACCAGAAUGUUUUCGAUGUACUGAAAGCAAAGGUGAAUGCCUGGUUCUAGAGGGAAAAUUUAAAUGCGCCAAAGGUAUACACAUUUACAUGACCUUUCUUUCUUUCUCUGACGUGCGAUAAUCUGAUUCCUUUAUUUAUGCCACUUCUAUUUUCUGUGAUUUAGCUAACAGCAGUUUUCUUUGCAAUUCAUGUUGCAGGAGAUAAGCAGUUGAAUUUGAAGCUAGGACUAGGUAAGAUUGUUAUCUCCGCAUUUAAAUAUCUAAUUGGUAUGCAUACUCAUCUAGGACAAGUGCUAGAACCAAAGGACGGAAAUCUGUCUUUCCCCAAUCCCUCUGGAUUAAUUUUCUAGGAAUCACGGAAUGAGCAAGCGUUUGAACAUGUUGGCAAAGUCCAUUUAUUGCUCUGCAUAACAUACCUUCAAUCAAAUUUAACUCUCCUUUAACAGUUGGUGCAGCCUCUGUUAUCGUCGUUCUAGUUGUUGUCUGCUGUUUCUUUUGGAAGAAGCGUAUCCAAAAACAUCAAAUUGUUGAGGCCUUUCUAAGGAGCUAUGGGCCGCUUCAAGUUCAAAGGCAUAGCUAUUCGGAGGUCAAGAAAAUGACCAACUCCUUCAAAGAAAAAUUAGGACAAGGAGGCUAUGGUGCUGUUUACAAAGGAAAAUUAAAGGACGGCCGUCUUGUAGCAGUGAAGGUCUUGACCAAACUAAAAGGAGAUGGAGAAGAAUUUAUGAAUGAAGUGGCAGCCAUUAGUCGAACUUCCCAUGUCAACAUCGUCUCCUUGUUGGGCUACUGUUUUGAGGGUUCGAAGAGGGCUCUGAUCUAUGAAUUCAUGCCUAAUGGAUCGCUCGAGAAGUUCAUAUUUGAUGCAAGUACUCCCAAGAAUGAUCAUCAUCACUUGGGAUGGGAAACUCUGGAUCAAAUUUCACUUGGUAUUGCUCAAGGAUUGGAGUACUUACAUCGUGGUUGCAACACACGAAUUUUGCAUUUCGACAUCAAGCCUCACAACAUUCUUCUCAGUGAAAAAUUCAUCCCAAAAAUCUCGGAUUUUGGCCUUGCCAAAAUAUGCAACAUGAACGAGAGCAUUGUGUCGAUGUUGGGAGCUAGAGGUACACCAGGUUACAUUGCUCCAGAAGUAUUUUCUAGAAACUUUGGAAAGGUCUCGCACAAGUCUGAUGUGUACAGCUACGGAAUGAUGCUUUCGAAGAUGGUUGGAGGAAAAAAGAACAUCGACACUGAAGCUGAAAAUACAAGUGAAAUAUAUUUUCCGCAUUGGAUUUACCAGCGUCUUGAACGGGACGAAGAGCUUGGUAUGCAGAGUGUUACAAACGAGGAAGACAAAGUAAGAGCGAGGAAGAUGAUCAUAGUGAGCUUGUGGUGUAUACAAACUGAUCCUUCAAAUCGGCCAUCGAUGAAGGAAGUGAUAGAUAUGUUGGAAGGGAGUGUUGAUUCGUUGCAUAUACCACCCAAGCCUUACUUGUCUUCUCUUCCAAAAUCCCCGGCAGAUUCGUCUUCUCCUCCAAAAUCCCCGGCAGAUUCUUCUACUACAUUGGUAUCAAUGCAGUAGAAACCCUGUAUUUUACUUGAACGAAUCUAUGCUUUCUGAGGCAAUCUAAAUAAUGAAGUAUGCAUUUCAUUUUUGUUUUGUUUUUUCUAUAUAUGAAUGAAUCAACACAGUAGGAGUGUCACUCCUACUACCCCUCCGGCAAUCAUAUAUAUAUAUAUAUAUAUAUAUAUUCAACACAAAAUGUGUGAAACAUUUGCAUUUCUGGCUCAGGCCAGUGGACUAGGAUAGUGUGCCCGCUUCAUGCAUCUUGUGAAGCCACGUGAUUCUAUUCUAACAAACAGUGAAGAGAAUUGAAGCUGUGUUGAAUUUCGGAGUUUUUGCAGCACCUUUAAAAAUGAGUGGAUAGGCCAUAGGCGGUACCCCAUUACUUGAAAAAUAACUCUAUGGUGAUGCUGGAUGAAUUUCCAAGUGACAAGCAUAUUGCAUAUGAUCAACUUAACCAAAAUUAUUGAUGCACGCCGCCAAUAUGAUUAAAAUAAAAUUCCGAUUUUAGACCUUAGCUUUUGAAAUGAACAAAAAAUGCGAUGUAACGGCAUAUGUCUGAUUCAAAAAUGAUUGGUUGAAUCCUAGAAAUACUAUUUGAUCGCCCAAAUCAUGUACCCUCUUCCAUGCCAUCCGGCUGAAAUCCAGUUUAUAUGCUUUGAAAUCAUGUGUUUCAAGAACAGCAUCAGGUUCGGGGCUAUAAAACCUAAAAACAAGUAGAAGCUCUCACAAGAUUCCACAAGAUACUUCAAUACACUGUAAUUUUCCUGCUCCUCGGACAUUUUUACUUAAUGGCUAUCUGUUUUUAUCUCAUGAUCAUCCUCUGUUCUGAUGGCAGCAAGCACAUUAGCAACCUUAAUCUUCAAAAUGCUAUAAUCACUGCUUAGAAGAUAGAAACUUCCAUCUGAGAAGACAGCGUCCUCAAACGGCUCACCGUCUAGCUUAUGUUUAAGCCAUGAUUGAGCUCCGCGGACCCAAAAUGCAAGCUCCCGGUGUUGACUAUGAACAAGCAUGCAAACAAGGUUUUCGACAGAAGGAAGCGCAGAGAGAACCAUCUUGUGAUAAAAAUUCCAUGUUUUGGGAAGAUUAGUUUUCUUCCUAGAGAAUGGAUUCAACAAACGAAUGUCAAGGUUUUAACAGUCGACUUCUUUCGCUAGAAUCAACCAAUCUUGAUAUGAUCCCCAACAGUAUCUUCCAAUAGCCUGAGGAAGCACUAUCUCCCAAUCUUGAUUCUGUAAUAUGCUAAGACAAGUCCACAAGUCCUUACAUGUCUGCCUCUGUGGCCAGAAGUCAUGAGCCACGGGACACCACGCCGUUGCCAACAAGAAAGUUCCUGUCCAAUAACGUUUCUCCAAGCUCUGCAAACAUCAUUAACAGAGAUACAAUCAAUCAGAGGCAGUCGCUCAAGGAUAAUCUCAAGUAUACCCUGAGCCAGCUCUUCCCAAUCCACAUUCGUAAACUUCUGCUUCUUCCGCCUUUUAUUUCUCCUUCAAUCCAUCAAAGCUCUAUGACUCUACAGAUAGCAAAUAAUAGUGUAAAUACAACGUCAAAAAAGUGUAAAAAUUACAGCACUAACAUUCAAAUUCAAUGCAUAACAGAUGUGGAUAGAAAGAUCAUACAUUUUGUGAAGGCAAAUAACUCCCUUGCUACCUUGUAACAUGCCUCUUAUUGAUAGGUUGAUAAAUGUGUUGACGUGUCAUGUUGUAAUUGGGUGUUGUAUAGAAGUAGUUAGAAGGGUUGAUUCUGUUGUAAGCUAUAAAUACCAUUGUGUAGUGUAAUUAUUGAUCAAGAAAUGAAAAAGGAUAUUCAAUUUCACUCUCUCUCUAGUUUGUUAAUUUUCUCACUCUACAAAUACUUUCUGGAAAUCUUUAGUGUUUACAUGGUAUCAUCGCCGAUCAUGGCCACGGCCAUCGAUUGACGACCUGGUGCUUCCGCUCGUCUUUUGUGCUUUUCGUGUCGUUCUGAAUUCUGUCGGUGGUUCGUUGCUUCAAGUCGGUCGCCUCUGUGAUUGUUGUCGGUGGUGUUCGAUCGCAGUCGGUGCAUGUCGGUCGCCUCUGUGAUUGUUGUCGGUGGUGUUCGAUCGCAGUCGGUGCUCAAACCCUAAGAUUUGGGGUUUUUAUGGUUGCUCGUCAGGUGUUUCUUCUUCUUUCUUACAUCUGCUCUUCGCGAUUCUUCGCUUUCUGCUUCGAUUUGGUCAUUGUAUCUUGUUCGAUUUCUUGUGCAUUGUUUUGCGAUCUUGUUCUUGUGCACCGUUUGCGAGUUUUCUACUGCCUGUUGCUGUGUGUGUUGUGCAAUCUCAAAAUUUUCGUGAAGUAAUCUUGAUUGUUCACAAUGGUUAAUCCAAAUCAAUCGGCUCUUACUCAAUCGCCAAUUUCUUCAUUGAUUCCAAGUGUGGGUAACACUGUGACAGUGAAGUUAGAUGAUUCUAACUAUGUUCCCUGGAAUUUCCAAAUGGAUCUUCUUUUGGAAGGGAAUGGUAUUAUGGGUUUUAUUGAUGGAUCCAUCUCCUGUCCUAAGAAGUUUGAGACUGAUAAAUCUAUCGAUGGUGCUGUUGACACUACUGAGGUUCUCUCUGAUGCGUACAAAAUAUGGAAGAUUCAUGAUAAAGCUCUUAUGACUCUUAUUGCUGCCACUUUAUCUACUUCUGCAUUGUCCUCUAUCAUUGGUUCUCAAAGUGCUAAGGAAAUGUGGGACAAUCUUCGUGAAAGGUUUGCUAGUGUUACUCGUACCAGCAUUGUGCAGUUGAAAAUUGAUUUGCAGAAUAUUAAAAAAGGGCCAGAGUCCAUUGAUCAAUACCUUCAACAGAUCAAGGAUUCUAGGGAUCAAUUGGCUGCUGUUGGAGUUACUAUUUCUGAUGAAGACAUUGUUAUUGUGGCUUUACGGGGCUUACCAUCUGAAUACAAUACUAUCAAAGCUGUUAUUCGUGGCCGAGAAAAUCUGGUAUCUUUAAAAGAACUCCGGUCCCAAUUAAAGGCUGAAGAAUCCACAUUGGCUGAGGUUCACAAGCAAAUUCCUCUAAUGUCUGCUAUGUAUGCUUAGGGUGCUUGAGCUACUUAUGAUUCAGGCCAAUCUUCGGGUCAUAAUGCCUUACAAGAUGAGACCUCUUUGCAUUUUUCCCCGAUGUCUAUGCCACCAAUGCCUAUGCCCAUGUCUAACUAUUCCUAACCAAUGCCUGUUCAGAUGCCUCUGCCUGGUUAUCUCCCGUGUGUUUUUCCCUCUCAAUAUGCUUCUGGUUCAUUUAACAACUUCAGAGGUUCUAAUAAUAAUUUCAAGUCCAAAGGCAAAGCAAACGUUUCUCCUAAGGUUCUCAGUCUUCCUCCCAGUCUCUGUAUGGUGCAAACAAUUCUCAGCAUUUGUUCCCUGCUCCAUUUCCGUCUGUUCCAGCAUAUAAUCCGUCUCAAAUUUGUCAAAUUUGCGAUAAGAAAGGGCAUUCUGCUCUCAAUUGCUUUUAGAAUGGGUGUCAAAUAUGUCACAGGAAAGGCCAUACUGCUGCUACUUGCUUUGACAUGAAUGCUUCCUCACAGUUUCAUAUGGCUGGUUCUUCCUCUCAUCCGAUGACUGUUCAUCCAUCAUUUCAGUUUUCUUCUGUUGGUGAUCCACCUAGCCCUUAUUUUCGUGGACCUCACAUUCAGCAACCUGUUUCUUAUCAAGCUUCUCAACCUGUAGCUAUGCAAGCCAGGGCCAACAUGACUCCAAGUGCACCUCCUCAAGAUUUUUGGCUGCUUGAUUCCGGUGCAACCAACCAUAUGACUUCCGAUAUUGCUAAUCUUUCAGCUGCAGUCCCUUAUCCGUCAACUGAGACAGUCACGAGUGCUGGUGGUGAAGGUUUAAGUAUUGCUCAUAUUGGCAACACUGUAUUUCCCACCAAAUCACAUACUUUUCAGCUUAAUUCUGUGCUACAUGUUCCGAAACUGUCUCAAGAUUUACUCUCCAUGUAUCAAUUAUGUAAAGAUAACAGUUGUCGCUGUAUUGUUGAUGAGUUUUCUAUUUGUAUACAGGACAAGGUCACAGGGCAAGUGUUGUAUCGAGGACUGAGUAACAAUGCAGUUUAUCCAAUUCCAGUUUUCAAGUAUUCCAGCUCAAAUGUGACUACUCCAGCUGCAUUUUUGGGUCAAAAUGUGUCUUCUGAUCUCUGACAUUGUAUAUUAGGCCAUCAUUCCAAUGCUAUUACCACUGCAGCCCUUAGGAAUUCAUCCAUUUAUGUUCCCUGUAAUAAAGAUUCCCUUACUUGUAUUUCUUGUUUACAAGGCAAGUUUUCCAAAUUACCUUUCCCUUGUAUUGCUUCAAAAUCUUUGGUUCCUUUUGAAGUCAUACACUCCGAUGUGUGGGGUCCUGCUCCAGUUGAGUCUUUAGAAGGGUUUCGGUAUUAUGUGUCCUUUGUGGAUGAAUGUACAAGAUAUACAUGGGUUUUCCCUAUUUUCAAUAAAUCUGCAGUUUUCUCUGUUUUUGCUCAGUUUGUUGCCUAUGUUCAAACUCAGUUUAAUGCUACUGUUAAAACACUUCAGAGUGAUGGUGGGGGUGAGUAUGUGGGCUUAGCUUUUCAAGCAUUUCUUAGAGAUAAGGGUAUUGUUCAUCAAAUGCCUUGUCCUUAUACCCCAGAACAAAAUGGGUUAGCUGAGCGAAAAAAUAGGCAUUUAUUGGAAACUGCUAUCACUUUACUUCAAAAAGCAUCCCUGCCUUCUUAUUUCUGGUUUCAUGCUUGUGCUACGGCUUCCUAUCUUAUUAAUAGGAUGCCGACUCCUGUUCUUAAAAUGAAAUCUCCCUUUGAACUUCUGUUUAAGUCUGUACCGAAGCUUGAUCACUUAAGAGUCUUUGGUUGUGCAUGUUUUCCUUUCUUGCGACCUUAUAGGAAUAACAAGUUAGAUCAAAAAACUACCGAGUGUAUAUUUUUGGGAUAUGCUUCUCAAUACAAGGGUUAUAUUUGUUUUUCUCUCAGUACUCAUAAACUCCUUGUGUCUAGACAUGUCAUAUUUGAUGAACAAAGCUUUCUUAGCAUCAGAUUAUCAUCUCCUUCAUCUCCUCCCAAGGCAUCAUAUUCUCCUCCGAAUCCGGUUGUUCAUCCUAAUACAUUUACACAUCCGUUCGUCAUACCUAUUCCUCUACCUCAAGUGUCACCAUCCUUGAGUUCUGGAACUUCAACCCCUGCUAUUACUCAGUCCACUUCUGCAUCAACAUACAACACUGGUGACCUUGUCUCUCCUCCCCUGUCUCCUACUCCUGGAUCGACUGCACAGUACUCUCCCUCUGGACCUGAUGGUCCUUCAGAUCUCCAUCCUGACACUACAUCUUCUCAAGUUGAUACACUGCAGGCUGUCCCAGUUUCCACACUUAACAGUCAUCCUAUGCAAACUAGAUUAAAAUCUGGUAUUGUGAAGAAGAAAGUUUUUCAGCCACGGUUGGUGAUGUUCUUCCUCUGACAGAACCUACUACUUAUUCCGCAGCGUCCAAGUGUGUGGAAUGGCACGCUGCCAUGAACGAAGAAAUGCAAGCCUUAGUUCAACAACAAACCUGGAAGCUUGUUCAUUUUCCUCCCAACAAGAACCUUGUAGGCUGCAAGUGGAUUUAUAAAAUUAAAAAGAAUGCUGAUGGUUCUGUUGCUCUGUAUAAGGCUCGGUUAGUUGCCAAAAGGUUCUCCCAAGAAGCCGGAAUGGACUAUUAUGAAACCUUUAGUCCUGUGGUUAAACCUACCACUGUGAGGUUGGUGUUGUCCUUGGCUGCUACAAAUGGUUGGAAAAUGAAACAGUUGGAUGUUCAGAAUGCCUUUCUUCAUGGCUUUCUUGAUGAAGAGUGUACAUGUCUCAACCACAAGGUUUCCUGGAUCCAAUCCAUCCUGAGUAUGUGUGUAAGUUGGAAAGGUCACUUUAUGGCCUUAAACAGGCUCCUCGAGCAUGGCAUGACAGAUUUUCCAAGUUCUUGCAUUCAAUUGGUUUCAAGUCUUCAUAUGCCGAUUCUUCCCUUUUUGUUCAAAAGGUUGGCAGCGAGGUAGUCAUACUUCUCCUCUAUGUUGAUGACAUCAUCCUCACAGGAAGCAAUGAGCAAUUGGUACAAUCUGUCAUACAUCAACUUACAUCGGAGUUUGAAAUGAAGGAUUUAGGUCUUCUGCAUUUUUUUCUUGGUCUGCAGGUUGAGUAUCAGUCUCAAGGGUUGUUGAUUCAUCAAACCAAGUAUAUCAAGGAUCUCUUACAGAAAGUUAACAUGGUUGAUUGUAAGCCUUGUCUUACUCCUUGUCAUCCCAAUCAAAAGUUGUUGAACCAUGACAGUCCUCCGUUUUCGGAUCCAACCUACUAUCGUAGUCUUGUUGGUGCCUUGCAGUACUUAACCUUCACUCGGCCUGAUAUAGCAUUCUCUGUUAAUCAGGUUUGUCAAUUUAUGCAUUCUCUUCUUGACCAACAUUUUGCAGCCGUAAAGAGAAUUUUGAGGUAUCUUAAAGGAUCCAUGCACUUCGGUUUGUGUUUUCGUUCUGGUCCUAUAUCUUUACGAGCCUACACCGAUGCGGAUUGGGCUGGUGAUCCCAAUGACAGGCGAUCCACUACUGGAUUUGUUAUUUUUCUGGGUUCUAAUCCUGUCUCCUGGAGCUCUAAAAAGGAGCAUACGGUUAGUCGAUCUUCCACUGAGGCUAAAUACAGGGCUAUGGCCACUACCACAGCUGAGGUUGUGUGGAUUCAACAACUCCUCAAGGAUUUACAGGUUUCUUGUCCUGAUCCACCGUUGUUGUACUGUGAUAAUAUUUCAGCAAUGGCACUUGCAACUAAUCCUAUCCUGCAUUCUAAGGCGAAGCAUAUAGAAAUUGACUGUCACUUUGUUCGGGAACGGGUUCAACAAGGUUCUAUUGUGUUGCAGUUUGUGGCCUCUACUGAUCAAUAUGCCGACAUCCUGACUAAAGGCUUAUGUUCUUCUCCAUUUCACUCUUUUUGUUCCAAUCUCAUGCUUGGCUGCUCCAAUCAUGGGAUUGAGGGGGGAUGAUAGGUUGAUAAAUGUGUUGACGUGUCAUGUUGUAAUUGAGUGUUGUAUAGAAGUAGUUAGAAGGGUUGAUUCUGUUGUAAGCUAUAAAUACCAUUGUGUAGUGUAAUUAUUGAUCAAGAAAUGAAAAAGGAUAUUCAGUUUCACUCUCUCUCUAGUUUGUUAAUUUUCUCACUCUACAAAUACUUUCUGGAAAUCUUUAAUGUUUACACUUAUCAGUUCAAAAUCAAAUUAGAAAAACUUUCUACAUAAUCUUUAAAUGUUUACAGGUACAUCUCAAAAAUUGGGAUGCCAUUGUUUGUACAGUAGUAGUAAUUGUUCCUCGGAGUCUAGCACUGGACGCAAACAAAUAAAAUGAUUCCCGAACAAAUACAAGCACAGACACAAACAAUCAAAACCUGAAUUAGAAUAACAAAAUGAUUGCCAAGAGAUAAAAUCGUUAGGUCCCAACUCGAAGAGAAUGCAAGCUUUUAUAUUUUAUAAGAGAUCUCUGCAAGAAGGAUGCUGUAUAUUAUCAACAUUCUCAAUUUCUGAGUUAAACCCAUUACUUUAGUAAAGAAGGCUUUUCAAUUGCAUUGUUCAUAUGAACAGUGUUUGAAGCCGAAUUUCACUUUUUUUACAAAAUUGCCACCGCCUCUUCAGUGCUGUUCAGAUUGGAAUUUUUAUUUAUUUACGAAAUUGCCACCGCACUGUGGACGCGUCAAUCAUCGUGCAAUUUCUUCCUCUCUCAUCAGGUAUCUCACUCUCAUUUCAUUUCAUCAUCUCUCCAGGAAAAAAGUUAAAACCUGGCCACUCAAAUUUCUCUCAACCCGAGCCGUCCCUCAUCUUUCUUCACUCCUCUUUCCUCUUCUCUCGACAGUAGCACUCGAUCAUGUUAUGAUCACAACUCAAAACCUUAACUCAGACCUGCAAGUAUGUAACAAUGGAGGAUAGAGGAAUACAGAGAAGAGCUAGAGAGAGAAGAGUUUUUUUUUUAAUAUAUUUCUUUUGAAUAUUCGUUCUGCCUUUUCUUUCACAAGUGGCUACAUAUAUGGUUCCCCAAAACUCUCAAAGCUAGCUGGAAUGACUAAUUACAAAACAACUUCUUAUUUAAUUGCUAAAAUAUGAUUAAGAUAAUCACAAUUAUAACAUUACCUCGCCCUUCAAUUAAACCUUGUCCUCAAGGUUGCUGUUAAAACUUGAAUCCUGGAAAUUUUGCAGUGAACUCAUCAUAAUCUUCCCAAGUAGAUUCUUUAACGUUCUUGUCCUUCCACUGAAUAAGCAGUUGAACCCCAGCUGCAUUGUUCUUCUUGUAGACCCUUCUUUGUAGUACUGCCAAAGGUUCUUGAGCUUGUAGUCCAUCAUCAAUCACUAGUGGUAAUAGUGGCACAAGAUUAACAUUAGGAUCCACAUGUUUCUUCAAGCAACUGAUAUGGAAGACGGGAUGUAUCUUGGAGGUCUCAGGAAGCUUUAGCUUGUAAGCCACACUACCAACUUUCUCUAAUACUUCAAAGGGCCCAUAGAACUUUGGGUAAAGUUUGUGGAAUGCAUGAGUUGCUAAUAACUGCAGCUGGUAGGGAAUAAGCUUCAAGUAGACCCAAUCUCCCACCUCAAAUGUUCUCUCACUUCUAUUUUUAUCCACAUGUACCUUCAUUCUGUUUUGAGCAAUGAUCAGAUUGGUUUUGAGCAUUGUCAACAUUUUGUCUCUUGCCAUCAGUCCUUGUUCAACACUCUCCAGUUUAGCAGAACCAAGCUCAUAAGAGGCAAUGUGUGAAGGAGGGUAGCCAUAUACAAUUUCGAAAUGUGUGAACUUGGACGCAGUGUGAAAUGAAGUGUUGUAACUCCAUUCAGCCCAAGGAAGCCAUUGGAGUAACUUCUUGGGUUGGCAGCUAGUGAAGCAUCUCAGAUAGGUUUCUAAACAUCUGUUGACAACCCCCGUCUGUCCAUUACUUUGUGGAUGAUAACCUGAACUCAUGCAUAACUUUGAUCUUUGUAGUCUAAAAAACUCCCUCCAAAAGGCACUAAGGAAAAUAGGAUCCCUGUCACUCACUAUGGUCAUUGGCAUGCCAUGCAACUUGAAAAUGUUUUCCACAAAUUCUUGUGCUACCAUGCUAGCAGUAUAUGGGUGCCCCAAUGCUAUGAAAUGCCCAUACUUAGAGAGCCUAUCCACCACCACUAGAACGACUGACUUCCCCUUGCAUGGAGGCAAUCCACAGAUGAAAUCCAUACUUAUAUUUAUCCAGGCUUGCUGUGGAAUUGGAAGAGGCUGCAGUAACCCAGGUGGUGAUAUUGUUUCAUACUUAUUCUGUUAACAAGCCCUGCAUUCAGCCACCCAAGCUUUUAUAUAUUUUUUCAUCCCAACCCAAUAAAAGCCUUUUUUCAAUCUUUGGUACGUCUUCAAUACCCCUUCAUGACCUGCUGUGGGAGUAGAGUGAUGCUCCUAAAAAACUUUUCUCCUCCAGUUAGAAUCAACUCCCAAUACAAUCCUAUGCUUGCAUUUCAAGAAGCCAUUAUCCAGGUGAUACUUAGUAGCAGUGAUAGUAGUUCUAGGAUCUUAACCUUGUACCGCUACUUCUUGUUUCUUUGAUCUAACCCACGGAUCCUGUUCCAAAUCUCUCCUGAGGUCAUCCAACCACCCAAAAUAGGGAUAAGUAACAGCCAGUAAUUCUCCCUUCUCCUCUAAAGGUAGCUCAGAAAGGGGUGGUGACCCUAGAACCCGAGAAAGAGCAUCUGCCACAAUGUUUUCCUUACCAUGUCUAUAUUGCACCUUAUAAUCAAAUCCCAACAGUUUGGACACCCAUUUCUGUUGGAAUGGGGUGUUGGUUCUUUGACUCAAGAAAUAUUUCAGACUGUUAUGGUCUGUUUUGAUAAUGAAAUGACGCCCUUGUAAGUAGUUUUGCCAUUUUUUUUACUGCAUAAACAAUGGCAAUUAGCUCCCUUUCAUAAGUAGACAAUGCCUGAUUUCUUGGACCUAAAGCUUGGCUGACAAAGGCAAUAGGCCUCCCAUGCUGCUGCAAAACUGCUCCAAUACCUAAACCCGAAGCAUCACACUCAACUAUAAAUGGUUCUGCAAAGUUGGGUAGGGCUAGCAAUUGGGGUGAAUUCAUGGCUUACUUCAAUUUCUGGAAUGCUGCCUCAGUUGCUUCUGACCACAUGAACCCCUCACUUCCAGUGAGUUUGUACAAGGGCAGGCAGAUUUUGCCAUAUCCAGGUACAAAUUUUCUGUAGUAACCUGUUAACCCCAAAAAUCCCCUUAACACCUUCACAUUCUUAGGAGCAGGCCACUCCAAUAUAGCUUGGAUUUUUGCAGGAUCCGCAAAGACUCCCUCACAAGAUACUAUAUGGCCAAGGUAUUCCACCUGGUGCUGCCCAAAAGAACACUUUUGUUUCUUAGGUGGUAUCUGAUGUGGACAGUCACAUCAUCUAAAUUAAUUAACAUUUAAUUUCAAAAUGUUAAUUAAUAAAAAGAUUGUUAAUUAAAUGAUGAUUGUGGUAUACGAUGAGUCUUCUUCUUCCACCUAAGAUUAUUUAAGUGUUUUAAUUAAUAAAAAGAUUGAAAUUAAAUUAUGUAGCUUGUCCAACUCAUCUGCCACCUAAGAUGAUAAAGAAAUGUGGUAUAAAAUUGUGGUAAGAAUAGCAUUAUUCUAUUAUUAGUGCGGGAUCCUCUUUGCAUGUAUUGUCAUUUCGCCCUAUUUUCGGGGCAUUGGCUUUUCCUUUUUGGGAUUAUCAAAUAUCUGCUUUGAUAGUAAACAAGGAACCCAGAUCCUCUCCGAAUCCAAAAUCUGAGCUAAGGAUCAAGUGAUCUGGGCCGUUGAAAUUUAAUCAAACGGCUACAAUUACUAUAACUUUAAAGGGAUCCCCCAUGUUUGUAGCCGUUUGAUCAAAUUUUAACGGCCCAAAUCACUUGGUCCUUAGGCUCAGUUUUUAGGGAUCCGGAGAGAAUCUGGGUUCAUAAACAAGAUCGCAGUUAGUAAGUCACAUCCUAGUCUCGACUCCGCCGUAACACGUUAUUGUCCGCUUUGGGCCACGCCUUCACGGUUCUUUUCUUGGGAACUCACACAAGAACUUCCCAGGAGGUCACCCAUCCUAGAAAUGUUAUCGCCCAAACUCGCUUAACUUCGAAGUUCUCAUGGAAUCCGUAGCCGGUGAGUCGCCAAAAGGUCUCGUGCUAUAUGGAAGUGGGCAUGUAUAUAUAAGGCACAUCACCUUCUCUCCGUUGGUCGAUGUGGGAUGUUACAAUCCACCCCCUUAGGGGUCCAACGUUCUCGUCGGCACACUCACACCACACGACAUAGUGGCUUUGAUACCAUUUUGUCACAUCCUAAUCUCGACUCCGCCGUAGCACGAUAUUUUCCGCUUUGAGCCACGCCCUCACAAUUUUGUUAUUGGGAACUCACACGAGAACUUCCCAGGAGGUCAUCCAUCCUAGAAAUGCUCUCGCUCGCACUCACUUAACUUCGGAGUUCUCAUGAGAUCCAUAGCCAGUGAGUCCCCAAAAAACCUCGUGCUAUAUGGAGGUAGGUAUGUACAUAUAAGGCACAUUACCCCAUCUCCGUUGGUCGAUGUGGGAUGUUAGUAUGUAUAAAGUUGAAAUAUCAGUGUCAGUUAGUGUAAUAUAUAAUGAUUUUAUUUUUCAUUUGUAAUUGAGAAAUUUUAAGUUUUAAUCUCAUAAAUAGUAAGUUCGAUAUCAAUUAAUUUUUUCACCUCUUAAUGUAAAUAUAUCGUUGUAUAAAAAAACAAAUUUGAAAUAUUAGCUUUCCUUUGUUGGGUUUAUGAAUUAUCAUCAUCGGCGCAUAUCUUCUUGAUUAAAUCUUCUAUAUAUCUAAUCACUUUAAUACAUCGUUUAAUUGUAAGUACAUGUUUUAACGCUCGACAUUCUAGUAUAUAGUUAGACCAGCCGGUCAAAGAAGCAUGCUCAUCUCCUUACAUUUAAAUUUGAAUCAAUUUUUUCUUUUAUAAAUUACAGUACUCAGAAAACUCACUCGUGUUUUGUAAUAUUAUCUUCAUUAUUUUUUGUUAUGUCCUCAUUUUCCUUUUUCUUUCUUUUUAAAAGUGAGCAAUCAUAAAUCCACUAUACAAGCGUGAUUUUUAACUUUUCAUUUUGGUCCGUUAGUAUAAACAAAGAUUAAUUAUCAUCACUAAUCCUCCUUUGUCUCGUCGUGUCUCAAGCCAAAUUUUCAUUCCAAGAUUCAAAACGAAUUGUCUUGUCAUUUAGUAACGCCUAUUUCUUUUUCUCAUGAAAAAAACCAAGUCAAGACCCGUGUCAUGUACCAUAGUGUGUAAGCUAUAAAGUCCAUUCCUUGUCGCACUCUCGUUUUCUCCUAAGAAGUGCCGUUUGGUCCACGGAUUAGAUCAUACUAGAAAACAGUGCUCGUGUUGCUGCGGGAUUAAAAAUUGUAAGAAAGAUUGUUUCAUAAAAAAUUGUGACAUAGAAGAUUAAUAUUAUUUACAUUGAAAACGUUAGGAAGAUGUUUACAUACAAAAAAAAAAAAGGAUUACGAAUGGAACAUGAAAAGUUUUCAUCCUGUACUGUUGGUUGAGGUAGCAGAAGAUGAUGGCACAUGAACUGAGCUAGUAAAAGUUGUAUUCAACACAAAUAAAAUAUCAAACACGGUUUAUUUUCUUUCAUUUGAAAUCAUAUGGUGUUGCGUUUACUGCAAUAAAAAAAAAAGGUGAAAACACUUCAAGUUAUGACAGAGGUUCAAUUAGCAAAAGCUACAACCCAGUGAGAGUAUGAGUUUAUAUAUUAGAUUCACUCACAUAGAUUAGAUUCUCUCCCUGCCGGCCUCACCAUUUUUAAUCAUUUUCUCUCCCUGCAUCUAAUUUUUUUUUAUAAACUUUUAUAGUUUGUCGUGCCACACAUCAUGUGACCGGUUUUAAUUCACAUUUUUUUCAAAAGACACAACCCAAAUAGAGGGUGACUGGAUGAUGGACGCGUGGAGUGAAUGGAUAAAACAGUAAUUCGACGGUACAAAUGUGGAAACAUCAAGAGAAACAGGUCAAAAUUUGAGGGGUAUUUCCGUCUUUUUACUAUUUAUGAACCGUGCUAAAACUCAAUGAGUUUUAAAAUAUAUAAUUUGAAAAGCCGGCAGAUUAGAUCGUAUUCUGAAGGCCGGAAAUUCAUUUGUUGAAGAACCAAAAGCUCACUCAUUUAAUUUUCCAAACACCAAAUUUAGAAACCUUGUGGUUUUGUUACGUACUUGGUAUGAGUUAUUUCACCCUAAUUUUAUCCGUACUUGUUUUUCCACUACUCACCAUCCAUGCAUCAAAUCACUGCAACCAAUCGUGCCCGAGUUUCGGUCCCAGCCCGAUUCAGUACCCUUUCGGGUUCUCAUCGGGCUGCGAAAUCCAGCUUAACUGCACUCCAAACAGAGGAUUCGCAAUCGGGCGGUUUCCAAUCCAGUCCAUAACCCAGGAGAGCAUAAGAAUCAAUCUCUAGAGCCGUUGCAACCGCCCCCUCCACACCCUCCGCCACCUCUACAGCCGGAAUUACGCCCCGACGUCACGGAACGCGAUUCUUUUACAGAACUGUACGGAUGGGAAGCCGUCGAGCAGCUGCGAGAUUCCCAACAUUCUGGUGCAGGCGCGGUUCGACGCGCCGCCCAACUGCAGCGCCAACAGCAGCCUCAGCUGUUACGCUGAGACCAGAAAGGAUGUCCAAUUUUUGAACUUUGGGAGCGUCAAGCAGAAGGACUGCAAAUUCUUGCUGUCAUCGAUGUCGUCGCCGUCGCCACAACUUUUGAAUACCUCGGCGCCGUCGUUGCUGGAGCUGGAAGUGGUGGAGUUAGAGUGGUGGCUUGAGGGAACUUGCGGGUGUGAUAAGAACGCCUAUUGUACGACGGUCGUAUCGCCAAAUGGGACAGAAGGGUAUAGAUGCAACUGCAAGGAGGGUUUUGGUGGAGAUGGAUACGUUGCUGGGUUAGGCUGCAGGAAAGGUAAUUACUGAUUACAUCUGCUUAAUUACUAACUGAUUACUUCUGCUUAAUUACUUAUCCUUCUUGCUCAUUUGAUCAUUCUUUUUCAACUCAUCCAUGGUGAAUCAUGGAUGUAUCAAAAGUAAAAUAGAGGAACUGUUUGGUUAUAGGUGUAAGGUUAAAGUUGGUUACUUGGUUAUAGGCAUAGAGAGAGUUUAAAAUGACAGAUGGCUUUGAUUUGAUUGAGGAUCCAAGUAUUUUCCUCUUUUUUUUUUUUCUCUUCUAACCCCAUCUUUUUUUUUGUGGCUUAUUAACCGAGUUCUCUUUUUAUUUUAUUUUAUUUUUAAAUUCUUGUAUUAAUUUUUUAUUUUCUCGUUUAAGACAUUCAUUAUAUUUAUCUUAAAUUAUCACAUUAUUUAUAAAUAUUGUAUUAUUUUUUAAAAACAAUAUAAAUAUUGUUUAAUGCUUAUUUUACGAUAAUUUAAAUCUAUCUAGCAUCCUGCCUAGAUCUCGCUUAGGCACUCCAGUUCGUUGUUUGAUUAGCGCCUAACAUUUUUUAGGAUCUAAUCCUGACCAAUUUAAGCUUCUUACAUUGACUUUGAUAUUAUUGCUUACAACUGCUUUGGUUGAGAGAUUAUUUUCUGCUAUGAAUAUUGACUCAAAAUUUUAUACUCUCCAAUGUAAAAGCAACUGCUUCGAUUGAACCUUGCACUCUUUUGAAUUUCGUCUCUCCCCUCUGUAAAUCCUGGCUUUGCCACUGGAUAACACAAUCUUAGAGUCUAAGUCUCCUUCACUUUUAUGACAGUCACAAAGGAUCAAAUUCGACAUGACGUCAUGACGUUUUACUAAAUUAAAUUCCAACGUUAGUACUACUACCAAGAGAUGCUUUUCAGCUAUGAAGCUGUUCAGUGCUCACACAAAUGGACUUGGAUUGUCUGCCCUCUAAUUUUGGUACCCUCUUCGUGCCCUCCUGUUUUUGUGGUCACGGUUAAGCCACGUCAACAUUUUAUAUUAAUAUUUUUUUUUGUUUUAUUAUUUUUAUAAAAAAAUAAUAUAAAAUAUUAAGUGGCUUAACCGUGACCACACAAAACAGAAUGGCACGGGGAGGGCACCGAAAUGGGAGGGCAGAGAAUCCAAGUCCCACACAAAUAAGUCUUUGUGGUGCUUGUCAGUGGGGAAGUUGAGAAGGAAACUCCCCUAAUAGGCCAUGGAAGUCUUUUAAGUCGAGCAACAAUUACAUGGAUAGUUCCCACUAGUCUUCCAGUCUCCCAAAUUCCAAGUCAACAGGGGUGUUACUAUAUUGCAAACAAUGAAUUCCGAACCUCUAAACGAUUCAACACUCUUUUUUUUUUUUUUGAGUGAAAGGCAUAGUUUAUUGCCGACAAAAAACCGAAGUUACAAACCAGAACUUACACAGCCAAGGCCCCAAACGAAAUAUACAACAAAAAGGUGGGCCUUCCGGACAAAGCGGUCUGAGCCUAACCAAGAGAUUAGGCCCAAAAACAUAAACAGACUAAAAGAAAUAGAAAACCCUAGUCUACUGCAACUCCCGCCGCCGCAGCACCUCUCGAUCAUCAUGUUCCAUGAAACCCAACGAAUGCCAUAGAUUCGACCAACCGACGCCUCAGAGGUUGAAGUAAGGAAGAUGCCAUCAUCCAUCAAAGAAGACCUCUCCGAUUGCAGCCACCAAGUAGAAACAACAACGAAGGAAGCUAGUGGGAUCUCCACUUGCGACACUGCCAACAAAGGCAGAAGGAGGUGGUGCGAACACCCGAGCCGGUGGGAACACCGGAGCUCUACACACCUUCUCGAUAUACCGCAACAGAUUGCGGUUGAAAGUGAUGGCGAAUCGGCUAAGGUAAGGUAUUGAUGAAAGAUGGAACCAAAUUAGAAGGAACAAAACGAAUUGAAAAAGGAUGGAGAAGGAAAGAGUGAUUAUUAGGACAUCGGCUAAUAGGAUCGACAGCAUGUGGGGUGGAAAGAACAAACAGAGGGAAAGGAGAACUGGGCCAGAACAGGAGCAGGAGGUAAGGGAGAGAACAGCAAAACACAGAAAGAAAAGACUGCCACCGACCCUAGCCAUAGCUAAGGCCGGCGGCUAAAUGGAAAACAGGAUCUGGAAACCCUCACACAAAGGGGGGAAGAAGAACUCUCACUCACGGAGAGAAAGGCUCUCACUUACGGAGAGAAAAAGUCCGGCUUUUUUAACAAUUCAACACUCUUUGGUCUGAAGAGGAAGAGUAGAUUUUCUUAUUGUUCUUCCUUUGCGGCGCUUUCUUCUUGUUGAUCAGCUCGGAAUUUUCGGAUGGCUCCGGUGGCUUUGUUUAUUCUCGCCAUUCUUGCUCACCUUGUGGUUCUGCACUCUGCUGAAUAUUCAGCAGAGGAACCCGCCAAACUUUGUCCAGUCCACUUCUGCAGUAGCUCAGCAGGCAACAUCAGCUUCCCCUUCAAAAGGCGGGAAGAUCCUCCUGAAUGUGGAUUGUUCACAGUCGAUUGUUCAGUACCCACUCGGACAACGAUCCAAUUGAAAGAGGGAGGAUACUGGUAUGAAUUCCAAGGCCCUUUAUCAACUACGUUUUUUAUCAACGACAAAGACCUUGCCGACCACUUAGAAAAAAAUCACUGCAAUGACGGAGUUUUGGACGACUUGAGUCUUCCCAGGGCUUCUCCAAUCCCUGAAGUAUCAUUAUUCACACACACACUGACCCUUUUCAAAUGCAGCACCACCUUAGACAAAAAUUCUU